rnacentral:lncRNA from 13 species
UUCACUUUUGGUGCUAUCAGUUUCUAAGGUGAAGGCUUGAGAGGUUCUUUAUUUUUUCCCCUCUGAUUACAAAUCAGAGCCUCUGAAAUGGAUUAUUUUUGGAGCCAGGCUCUCCCAGCCCUGUACAAUCUGCAUUCCUUACCCGAUACACCCUCUUGGUCUUUCAUGGUUUUUACUGACGAGCAGAAGUAGGUGAAUGACAGUCCUUUUCCUUUCAAACACGUCAUUCCUAGCUUUGGGUGAAGGCUUUGGGGGAUGGUUUCACAGAUCUAUGUCUAGUUUUUCACAGCUCAUUACCAACAUUGUGGGGAUUUCCUCUUUUCAGCUGACACAUGGACUAGAACGACCUCUGGCCAGACACCUUCACAUGAAGCUGGUGUUGCUUCAGCGCAGGAAGAGCCAGUGUCAGCCCAGCACUCAGCAGUACCUGGCACUGUCACAGACACUGGUGGGGUGAGCAGGGGCAGUGCUGGAGCAGUGGGAGCUGUCACUGCCCCGGGGAUUUCCCUGCCUGCAGACCAGCAGCUGGUGCUUGCCAGGUCAGUGACAUCCCUGCUCAUGCCAACUGUCCCCUGGGCAGCACCCACAAGCAGCAGCAGGUGCCUUCUGCCAUGACACCACAGCUGCUGAGCUCCAGCUGUCAGUGCAGCCCCAAAUCAGGCACAUGUGAGUUAAAAUGAUGAACUGGUUUGGGUGGGAAGCUCAUCCCAUCCCACCCCCUGCCAUGGCAGGGACACCUUCCACUGUCCCAGGCUGCUCCCAGCCCCAGUGUCCAGCCUGGCCUUGGGCACUGCCAGGGAUCCAGGGGCAGCCACAGCUGCUCUGGGCACCCUGUGCCAGGGCCUGCCCACCCUCCCAGGGAACAAUUCCUUCCCAAUAUCCCAUCUAACCCUGCCCUCUGGCAGUGGGGAGCCAUUCCCCCUUGUCCUGGCACUCCAGGCUCUUGUCCAAAGUUCCUCUCCAGCUUUCUUGGAGUGCCUUUAGGGCAGCAAGAGGGGCUCUAAGGUCUCCCUGGAGCCUUCUCUUCUCCAGGCUGUUUUUACCCCAAAAGUAACUUUGCCCUAUUUGGGUGGAUGAAGAGCUGUUCCUCGCGGCGCUCGGUGAGGCCAAGCGCCAGAAUUGUGAGAGAAAAAUGGGGAUGUUCAAGUCAGCAGACGUGGAUGCCAAAAAGUGUGUGUUCCUGGUAACAAAUCCUGCCUGGAGCUGCAGGCAGGGGAGUCUUAAGUGCCCACACAAGUUAUAGAGAUGCCUCCUUUUCCUCUUGAAAGAGGUCCUUGAAGGGUACUUGGAGCCCUCUCAUGUACCUACAGGUAAGGCAGCAGCUGUCCUGUGCCUCAUGGAUGGACUCCGCCCAUCACUGAGGCCACUUUUGCCUCCAGCUCAUGCGUCUCACAGUGUUUGCAGCACAUCAGCAAAAAACUGACAGCAAAAUUUCCCAAUAAUCCUAUUUUAGGGGCACUGUCUCCUGGAGGACAGGGCUGGGAUAUGAGGGAUGCAGGCUCAAGACUUGUGCUCAGCCCAUCUCAAAGGCAACCCCGUUCAAGGUUUUCUCCAUGUGAGAGCUGUCCUGAGAGAAUUCCCUCAGCCAGAGUACACCACCAUGUACUGAAGCAGCAUGGGGGGCUUGGGCUGCUCCA